AUUUGCCCACUAAAUUACCAGUAUUAAUAAUUAUUAGUUUUAAGUGAAAUUAUUCAAAUUUUUUCAUCUUGUUCACAUUUAUAAUUAAAUUAUGAUUCAGAUGGGUUAGAUGAUCUCCUGACUUUGUAAGUGAUGCAACCUAGCAGAGAACGACAGCAGCAGCAGUAGUAAAGAUUCCAAUAGGUGGGGGUCAAUUUGAGUGAAUAGUUUGUCUGAUAUACAGUAGUUUUGAUCAGUACCAGAUUAGUGGUUAUUACAGGUAGGUAGAAUCCCGGCUUUUAUGCUUCAGCUCAUCUAAUCCAAGCUGAUGAGAGCAUAUUGAAAGAAUGGAGAGAGGUAGACAAGUGAAAACAAUAUAUGAA